AAGGAACUUAUCUUUAUGUCGGUCCUUGAACGUACUUUCUGUACACAUGUAUACCUAACUGCAUAAUACGUGUGUGUACAUCCUCGCAUUCUUCAGCACGGAGAACAUUAUCGUCGUGACGCUCGACUCGUUACUCUCCUUUAUUUUUUCCCUUAUUGCCGUCAGUUAAACAACAGCCGGGGAAUCGCGUACCUUUUAACUUUACCUCCGCGAUUUCGUGGUUUAUGCCUGCUGUUUCUCUUACACGAAUUCCAUCGAGUUGAAGUUAUCGUUAGCUGUAGUUUGGACUUUCUUCGAGAGAGAUUCUUCACGAAAUUUACUUGUUAAUGGAGUUUUUAAUUAGUUUGCACAAUUUUCCUGCGUUGUUGUAGACGUUUAUUAUAAUCAUCUAUGUGCCAAUCGAUCGUACGUGAUGGUCUCACGAACGAGCAGACGUUACAAUUUUAGGUCGUACAUCUGCUUAAAUGAGGAUAUUAUCAAGCAUAAUCAGGGGGCUGUGUUUAAUUGGCAGCAAGGGUUAAUGGUACCAAGUAGAGGUACAGGAUGCUUAAUCCAAGCCACAGAGGGCAAAUAAUUUGCGGCAUCACCUAAGCCAUUGUAAGUUAUGCUGAGCUUCAGGUUAAAUGAAUUCUCCAGCCCAUAGGCAGACGUACAAUGCUUUUCCGGUCAUUAUUAUCCACAUAAGAGAUUACUAGGGGACCAUUACAAAACUGUGCCUGCAAUGCUCCUUCAAAUCCCGCAAUGAUAUAUUAGUAACCCGCGGUAUACUUAUUUGUAAUCGUACAAGUGGAGAACCAGGCAUAACAAGAUCUUCUCUUCUUUUUUUUUUUUUUUUUUAUAGAACUUACUGAACAAUUUUUAUAGAAAUGUAGGUCACUGGGAUUUGAUGCACGAAUAAUAGAUAAAUUAUAGAGAGUGAUAUCAUCCGCAAUUUUGUUUCUGCAUCUGUAAUUCCAAAAAUUUUCUUAAUAGGCAAUUGCGUUUAAAUUUAGUGCGAUAUUUUAUUUUUAUUAUUAAUACAUUUUUUUUUUAGACAAAUCUUAGUUUAGCAAAAUUUCAUGCUAAAAAUUAGAGACUGUAUG